rnacentral:rRNA from 1 species
UGGGGAAUAUUGCACAAUGGGCGCAAGCCUGAUGCAGCCAUGCCGCGUGUAUGAAGAAGGCCUUCGGGUUGUAAAGUACUUUCAGCGGGGAGGAAGGUGUUGUGGUUAAUAACCACAGCAAUUGACGUUACCCGCAGAAGAAGCACCGGCUAACUCCGUGCCAGCAGCCGCGGUAAUACGGAGGGUGCAAGCGUUAAUCGGAAUUACUGGGCGUAAAGCGCACGCAGGCGGUCUGUCAAGUCGGAUGUGAAAUCCCCGGGCUCAACCUGGGAACUGCAUUCGAAACUGGCAGGCUAGAGUCUUGUAGAGGGGGGUAGAACUCCAGGUGUAGCGGUGAAAUGCGUAGAGAUCUGGAGGAAUACCGGUGGCGAAGGCGGCCCCCUGGACAAAGACUGACGCUCAGGUGCGAAAGCGUGGGGAGCAAACA